UGGGGAAUUUUGGACAAUGGGCGCAAGCCUGAUCCAGCCAUGCCGCGUGCAGGAUGAAGGCCCUCGGGUUGUAAACUGCUUUUGUACGGAACGAAAAGCCUCUUUCUAAUAAAGAGGGGUGAUGACGGUACCGUAAGAAAAAGCACCGGCUAACUACGUGCCAGCAGCCGCGGUAAUACGUAGGGUGCGAGCGUUAAUCGGAAUUACUGGGCGUAAAGGGUGCGCAGGCGGUCUUGCAAGUCAGAUGUGAAAGCCCCGGGCUUAACCUGGGAAUUGCGUUUGAAACUACAAGACUAGAGUGCAGCAGAGGGGAGUGGAAUUCCAUGUGUAGCAGUGAAAUGCGUAGAGAUGUGGAAGAACACCGAUGGCGAAGGCAGCUCCCUGGGUUGACACUGACGCUCAUGCACGAAAGCGUGGGGAGCAAACA
rnacentral:rRNA from 1 species